rnacentral:lncRNA from 1 species
UUCUAUUCUGUUAGUUCAGCGGCAUCCUUGACUGCUGCAUUUGUUUUGUUCAAUUAAUUAAACAAAGAGGUCAUUACACUGAAGUGGCUCUAAUGCCUUAGCAGCUUACAUACAUGGGAAACCAAAACCUUAGGCUGUCCAUCCCUCAAGGUGAAGAUCUUGGAACCUAAGGGCCACCCACCACAAACAGGCAGCUAGGCUUUUCCAAAUAAGGCAAAUGCAUGCACCAGAGUCAAAUAAUGUCCUUGCCUCGCUUCUGCAUCUUCUCUGUAAAAGUCUCUCCCUUAGCUCCUGUCUGCCUAAUUCAAAUUGAUUUUUGCUCAGAUCAGCUCUUAACACUUUCCAUUGGCUUCCAUUGAUCUUUUAACAGUUCUAACACCUUAAUGUGGGUUAAGAUGUUGCAAUAAGAUGUUUAAAUAAGUUAAAAUAGGAGAUGACCAAUUGUUCAAUGUGACAUUAAUUCUGGAGUUGGUGUUAUUUCUGGGAAUUUUUUCAUUUUUUGUAGAAAUUUUACCGAAGUACAGUUGAUUUGCAAUGUUGUGAUAAUUUCUGUUCUAUAACAUAGUGAUUCAGUUAGACAUAUACACACCUUGAUUCUUUUUUGGAUUCUUUUCAGGGAGUUUUUUAAUCCUGACUUCAAAGCGCUGUGAGACAAUGCAAGGCUUGGUAGAUAAUGAUAGUUAAUAUUUAUAAAGUUCUCACCCUGUAAGGGCACUAUUCCCAGGGCUUCCAUAUAUUGCAAUACUAUGAGGUAUAGACUCUUAAAAGGAGGAAAAAUUCCUCGACCCUCUUAGGGUCCAUGGCUGGGUCAGAAAAUGUAACUGGCAAAGACAGAUUAAUAGGAGAAAAACAUACAAGUCUGAUUCUAUUUUUACACUGUACAUGGGUGCCUUCACUAGAUCUGAAGAAGUGACCAGGGCGGGCAGAUUUUAUACUUUUUAGACAUCCAUAAAUUUGUGAAGAAUUGACAAAGGGGCUUGGGUAGGGAUAAUAAGUGGUGAAGAAAUAACUAGGAAGAACAGGUCUAAUUUAACAAGGUUUGUUUGUAUAGAUUUCUUGCCCCUGAUUCCCAAAGGACUCUAGUGAUAAGAAUGUCUUCCUUCCUCCUGGUAGAGGGAAGGCAUUUUCCAUUGAGAAUUUUACAACCUGUUUAGGGAAGAAGGGCGAGGGCGGGGAGGUCAGAGUGACCUUCCUGCUUCUGCUGUCUUUUAAAUUCCUUCAGUUGAAGAUACGUCAUAGGCCAAAGUGACAUAUUUUGUGUAGCACAUCCUGAACCUCAUCACUGUUGUUAGCUCCAUUUUACCGAAGAGGAGAAACCAAGGCAAAAAGAGGUUAAGUAACUUGGCCUAAGGUCACAAAUCUAGUUGCAGCACCUGGUUUGGACCCUGGUAGUCUGGCUCUAGAGCUCCUCCUCUUAUCUCUGCUAUAAAACAAGAGAAUAAUUCAAUAACAUAAUAAAAAAUAUAUUUGGUCUUUGUCCCCGGUUUCUGACAGAUCUAAAAUCCUUGGAAUUGCCCGAGAGAUGGGAGUGUCUUUUGGAACACACCCGAGUUUCAGUUAAUGAAGUGGCUUAGAUUGAGUUUCUCUGAAAGAAGCUGAAAGACCAAGUGACUGGAAGGUUGGACCUUUUGGCCCCACCCACCGACCUCUGAGAAUGGAAGUGGUAGGAGCUGAAGAUUAAACUCUUCACCUGUGGGAUGUGUUACUAUCUCCAGGUAGAUAGUGUCAGAAUUGAGUUCAGCUUGUAGGACACUCAGUAUAUGGGUCUGCUGAAAACUGGACAAUUACUUGGUGGUCUUGGAACACAUGCCAGAAUCACAAAAAGAGAGCUCAAAUAAUUAUUUAUAAAGUCUUAUUCAAAGUCUUAUUUCUUAUUCAUAAGGAAGUUCUGAUGGAGGUACAUGAUAAAAAUCUCUCUGUAGAGUCAAUAGCACUGUUUUGAAUUUGACAGACUUUGAACAGAUAUAUCCAAUUAAGAACAUAAAAAUCUAACCUCAAGCAACAUAAACUCUUCUGGAAAUGCUUUUCAUCUCCCCACAAUCCCCAACUCUCUGAUAGGAAAUCCCAGAAGUGACUAGGGAUCCUUUAACUUCAGAAAGGUGGAAUAAGGUCAUAGAAGGAUAUUCUGCCCCAGAAAUUUUUUUUAUUGUGGCCACUACUGGAGCCUCAGGACACCAUGGGAUAUAUGGAGAAUGCAGCAUUUGAGGUAACUUCACCUACACCUGUGCAGGAUAGGACAUCAACGACAGGCUGGUUAUCCUUCCCAGGCAGAAAAGACCAGGAGCUUAUAAAGAACAGAACUUUACCUCUUUGUAAAGUCUUGUCACGGGUGUCAAAUAUGCUUUCAGAAUACCUAUCAACUUCUGUGGCACAUUUCUGAAGCAAAAACAAAGUUUUCCAACAUUGUAAAGUGGUAAAUGUGUUCCUUCUCCAUCAGCCUUUGAACUUUUUUUUUAGUUUUUAAUUUUAAGAACUAAGAAAACUUUCUUUAAAUUAUUUAAGCAUUUAGGAAAAACAAAAGAAAAAUAAUUCAUUAAAUGUCACAAUAUUUUGAUAUCGUUUCCAAUGCAAACACAUUGGUAGUAAACUUGGGGAAAACUACACUUUUUCAAUACCUCUACUUAUGUUUAAGACAUAUAAUUUUGCCAAUAUAGUUUAAAAUUUCCUCCCUAGACAGACCAUUCUAAUUUCCUCCAAAGCACAAAGAAAGAGCAUUUUGAUUCUAGUAAGCACUCAUUAAAUGUGUAUUUAACACACCUUGAGAAUCAGGAUAUAGUGUUCUAAGAUGUAAAUCUGUCUGUGUUAGACUCUAUUUCAAUGUUUCUAUGACUCCUUGCUGCUCUCAGGGUAAAGUCCAAAUGCCACAGCAGAGGAUUGGGAGUAAGCAGGAACCACAGCAGGCCAGACCUUUGAACACGCUGCCUCCUUCACCUGGAAUGACUUCUGCACCUUCUUCCAGCCCUUCCUCCAGCCCCCUCUUGCCCCAGAUCUCAGUUUGAUGCCCUGUCUUUCCUGAACACCCCCUAGUAAGACGGGUUGGGUGCCCUCCCAGCUGCUGCUGGUCUUCACAUUCACUAAGACAGGGAAUACAUAUUCUCUCCCUUGGGUCCCCAGACAGUGCUGACACACAGUCUAUGACUGAUAAGUGUUUGUUCAAUCAAUGAAUCAAUAACAUUGAUCCACAUUAUCAAAACAUUGACAUAAGACUAUAGCUCAUAUACUUCUUCUAGAUACUCAGUUAAAUGCCAUCCAUGGCACACUCUCCAGCUGAAUUUUCUUUUAAAGAUGUCUUUAAUUGAUUCAACAAAUAUUGUUUGUUGCCAGGUAUUAUUCUAGGUCUUUAGGAACCUAGACCUCCAAUUCACCUUGGGGUCCAAUGGUGAACAAAACAAGGAUCCCUGCCUGCUGGAACUUAUGUUCUAACAAGGAGGUAGACAAUAAACAUCACAAGUAAUUAUGUGUGAUGUUAGGUGAUAACUAUUAUGAAGGAAAAAGUAGAGCAGGCCAAGGAGGUUCAGAUAUGGGAGGAUGGGGUACAAGUUACAGCUUUAAGUAAGGCUGUUCAGUAGACCUCAAUGCGAGGGUGACAUUUGAAUAAGUGUUAGAUUAAGUAUGGAUGUCGAGGGAAAGAAUACCCAGGCAGAGAGCCACUGAUGCCAAGGCCAGAUCCAAAGUAGGAUUUCGCUCAGCUUCUUCCAAGAACAGCCCACUGGCCAGAGGGGCUGGAGCAGAGUGAAUGGAAGGGAAGGAGAGGAGGGGAAGGCAGAGAGCAGGUGACAGAGGUAGGCACUGGGUCUGUAAGAGCUAAGUUCCACUCCAGUGGAAUGGAGGGCCAGGCAGGAUCCUGGGCAGAGGCGUGGUGGAUGUGCCCUGGCAUACUUAGAUUUUGAAUAUAUCAACCCCAUUUGGGGAACAAGCUCUAUUUUAGUAAACAAGAAAAUGGCUUUUCUUAAUUGAUGAUUUCCUCUUUCAUUUUCUUGUGCAGCCAAUUUUGUGCCAAAGGAAGAGUUUCCUCCUAUACGUCUGAAUCUUAUUCAGUAUUUCUCAGCCAAGUUAUCUUGGCGUACAGGAACGUUAUGACCUGUGGCUAGGAUUUUUCCAAAAUUCACAGCCAAGUUGAUUUUUAGCACACUGUCUUAAGAUGGAAUAUAGAAAAAAAUGCCAUUUUAAUUCUGAUUUUUCAAUAUUAUUUCAAAAUAAGUAGUGGUAAGAGUUCUUAUUAGAAGGGGUACCAGAUUAAUGAUGCAGUGUAAGAAUUUAUAAUUAUAGCUAUAUAACUGUCCUGCAGAAUGUUAUAUCAUCAUUGAAUCAAAUGUUUUUGUGGACCUUGGGAACAACACCAACAUUAGAGAAUCUUGUCAGUUUUUAGCAUAUCAAAAGAGACUGUAUACAUUCAUUGGAGCUGGUCCUAGAAGUGUUUUGACAUCUGCCAAAAGGAAAAACCACAUACAAGGUGUUUCAAAAGUGCACUAGAGAAAAUAUUUUACAGAAGAUGACUACAAAUGGAUGGCAAAUCUGACAAAAAAAAUGUUUCACUGAAAGGAAAUGCAAAGCAGUCACGAGGUACUUAAAAUGAAUUUCAAAAAGAAAGAAUAUUGGAAUAUUUGGGUGAGAAUAUAGAAAUGUAGUAAUACACUCUCAAACUGCUUGGGAGUGAGAACAGAGACAUUCUCAUACUGCUGGUGAACAGAAAGCAAUGUGAUACUGUGGUUUAUAAAGCUGAAAAAGAAUCACAUCUUUUGGCUUUAUACAUUUACUCCUAGGAGAGUUAGUUUAGGAAAUAAUGCAAAAAAAAUUUAAUUGCAGUAUUAUUUUAGAGAGAAAUUAUAUAUUAUGUAUAUAUAUAUAAAUAUUGCAAUGAAAGGAAGGUUAAGUAUUUAAGCCCAUAUUCAGAAAUGUUAAGCAACUUUAAAUAUUUUACAAAAAGUUAAUGAUAAGGAAAAUACUUAGAAUAAGUUUGCAGAAUGUAAAAGGUGAAGACAUAGUCUCGGCAUAUACAAAUAUAUGAUAGAAAUAAAAACUUAGUGGGAAAACACCAAACUGUUAAUGGUGGUUAUUUUGAAAUGGUGGUGUCAUGGGGGUAUUUUUCUUAUAGUUUGUACACAGAACUUGUAAUAACCAUGUAUACUAUUUCCAAAGCUUUUCUAUUUUACUAUAAAGUAUGUAUUGUAAUAUAUAAAUCUAUUUAAUCUUUGCACAAAACUUUCAAUAUUAUUUUAAAAUAAAACUAUACUCAGGGUAUAGCUAAGCAAUAAAAAAAGAAAAUCUUUUGAUCUAGUCAAUGAUAUAAAAUGAAUACAGGCAUGUAGAAUUCACCAGAACACCUUAAUUGAAGACUCUUGUAAAUUUUGUAGAUAUCAAACUAUUUGCUUGCUAUCAGUCUGAAUAAAAUGAAUUAGUAGCAGUCUAUUUGAUGCUAACUAUAGGGUAUCUUAACAUUUACCAAAUUAUUAAAGAAACUGACUUUAUAGAGAUUCUUAAGAUAGGCCAAACCUUAGAAGUAUUGCCAUAGAUGCACAGGAUAAAUAUUUCACGUAAAAAUCAGGAGUUCCCGUCGUGGCUCGGUGGUUAACGAACCCGACUAGCAUCCAUGAAGACAUGGGUUUGAUCCCUGGCCUCACUCAGUGGGUUAGUAAGGAUCUGGCAUUUCCAUGAACUGUGGUGUAGGUUGCAGACGAGGCUCAGAUCCCAAGUUGCUAUGGCUGUGGCGUAGGCUGGCAGCUGUAGCUCCGAUUAGACCCCUAGCCUGGGAACCCCCAUAUGCCAUGGGUGCGGCCCUAAAAAGACAAAAAAUGUAUAUAUAUUUCAUGUAAAAUCAACAAGGAAAAGGAAUGUUUGUAUAAGAAUCUAAACUCUAUGUACCUACAAGUAUCCCUGUACUAGGAUGUGUCGAAGAAAACUGAUGCAGAUUUGCAAGUCGUGAAGAACUUGUUCAAAAUCCUGGACAUAGAUAUUCCAGGUAAAAGAACAUCGCUGUUUUCACGUCUGGUGUUUCAUGCUUCUGCUAGUUUCGUCCAGUGAUAUCCCACCUUAGUGUCAGACUUGAUAUAAACAAAGAAAUCACUGGCUCUCUUUUUGGUGAAGGAGGCUUGUUAGUUUUUCAAAGGCAAGACAUUUAAUCUUGUUACUAGUAAAAAAUGGGUAUUGGUUCUUCUAAAAAUACAUGUCUUUUUUAAAAAAAUUAAGUCUUUGCUCUUGAAACUUUGGAAAAUCAGCCUUUCUAGAGGCCAUUCCAUUGUGAAGCAGUUGUGUUCAAAAACUUAGUUAGACCUUUUCCUCCUCUUGAGUCCUCAUUGCAUUGUUGGCUGCAUUUUCUACACCUUGGUGGCCCCAGUUGGUCUCCCUCAAAAACAAGCUAAGCAUGUGCGUAUUCAAAUCACUGUUCAGACAAAAGUGUAUUUUCCCUCUAGAUUCAAAUCCUGGUGACUAUAAUGGUGCGACUGCAGAAUAGUCUCCUGAAACAAAGCCACUCCAGCACGUCUAGGAGCUAUGCUCAGUUCUCCAGAAAGGCAAUUCCUGAAGUGCUCACCAGUUCAUCCAAGGGAGCAGUUCUUUCCUCCAAAGCUGGGUUCUCACCGUGCUUCCCCCUUUUGGUGCUUUAAACUAUUUUACUGGAACUCCCUCUCCCAGAAGUUGGAACCCUUGAUACAAACUUGUUACUGUUUGUGAUACAAAUGUGUUACUGUUUUCCUGGUCUUCAGUUUAGUUGGGGGUGGACUGUAGGCUAUCUUACCAAAGGUCACACAGAUGUUUAGGCUCCUCCAUUCAAGCAGUGAAGGCCAUAGCAUGAGUUCCACCCCAGCUCUAGCAGACACUUUGCACUUCAGAGCACUCCUAACUCAUAAAAAGACACAGUGCUGUCACUAUAUAACACCCAAAAGUAAGAGGGAGGAUAGGGAAGUGGGGAAAUGUUUUUCUGCUAAAUUACUUAGCCUGGCAAUCACUUGCCUUCCUAAGUUUCUUGUGAGUCAGUCCAUAAUGAACCUAGUUGUGUAUGAGCCAGCCGCCCUGUGGGUGAGGCUGGAAGCAGAUCCUUCAGCCUCAGUUAAGCCUCAGAUCUGCAGCUCCAGCUGAUAUGGGAUUGCACCUGCUUAGUUACAUGCUCACAUUCUAAACUGCCUUUUAGAAUGGCCAGGUCUUGUGUUCAAGGGGGCAGCUUUAUGUCACUGUGGCCACCUUGAUCUCCCAUGGAGAGCAGCUUGACAUGGGAAACUCUUAUGGAAAUACUCCCGAAAAACUUCUCUAUUUAGCCACGCAGAAAAGGUGUCAGAGAAGAUUUGAGCUUUAAACCUUAAACUUUUAGGACUGGAGGACUCGUCUCAAUAUUACUUCUAAAUUUCAUCAAACAUUAAGUCGUCUGUACCGGGAAAGUGUCUCCCAACUAGAUGACCAUCUUGCAACAUGUCUUUUUUGGUGAUUUCCUCUGUUUUGGUCUAUUUUUUAUUUGGUUAGGAGUUGAGAUAUUCCGUGGAAUCGAGUUAGCCUACUGAAUGAAUGGCUUUGAUUUCCUUUCAUGGGUAUUCAGCUUGUGUUUACCUGAUACUUUCUCCAGCUAAUCCGGGGAUACAGUCAUUUUUCUAUUAUUUAUAUAUAAGUGAUAUAUAUCUUAAGAGAACCUAAUACCAAAAACAUAAGCCUUUCAAUGUUUUAAUCUUGUAAUUUAUGACAGUUUUAUAGAAAUCUGGCAGUUAAAGUUGGAUAAAGAGCCACAGUGAUGUGUGUGAGUAAAGAUAUUUAUGAGGAAGAGCUGGCCCGUGAGCAAAAUUGUGAGCCAAGCCCCGGGUUUCUUUGAGGAUUGACAAUCUACCUCGCCCUUCCUGGCCUCUUCCGCUGGGUACCUGUGAUGAAUCAUGACCCCAAAUAAACUGGACUAGCUACUUCAUCUGAAAGCUCUGGGUGUCAGGUUAAGUUAUUAAUAUCUUCCUUUUUAUAGCAGAUAAGAACUGAGGCUUAAAGUAAGAUGCCUUGCUCAAAGUUACACAACUUGUUAAUGGCAAAUGCAGGACUUUAAAGCAGGUUUUCUGGUUUAAAAUUCCAUACUUUUCCAUAUGUCAGCCGUGCCUAAACUAACACGGGUUUUAUCUUUGUCUCUAAAAUGAUCUACAAUUAAAAAAUAAUUGGCUUUUGAAGUUCCCGUCGUGGCUCAGUGUUUAGCGAAUCCAACUAGAAACCAUGAGGUUGCGGGUUCAAUCCCUGGCCUUGCUCAGUGGGUUAAGGAUCCGGUAUUGCCGUGAACUGUGGUGUAGGUUGCAGAUGCGGCUUGAAUCUGGCAUUGCUGUGGCUCUGGUGUAGGCCGGCGGCUACAGCUCUGAUUCGACCCCUAGCCUGGGAACCUCCAUAUGCUGAGGGAGUGGCCCUAGAAAUGGC